UAUUAAAAACAUCAUUCAUUUUUACUCUUAAAAACCAGUGUGGCUGACGGAUCAACCAUAUAGUAACAUGUGACGUGCUAUGUAUACCUCAUGUUGACAUAUACGAACCCAUUUUUAAUAGUGGAAAUUGAUAAAGUUUUUAAUA
rfam:Gossypium arboreum cultivar AKA8401 contig_19222_3, whole genome shotgun sequence.